rfam:Streptococcus suis 05HAS68 A15_0216, whole genome shotgun sequence.
GAAAUAAAAGAUGUUAUCGCUUUAAGGCGAGCAGGAACCUAUUUAAAUGAAUCGAUACGAUAUAUGUCGAUUUCUUUUAAGUAGGUUCUUUUAUUUUAA